GCCUCUGGAGAAUCCCGGUUACGGGUGCCGAAGGGGCAAGGCGCGCCGCCUUGCUGCGGCGUUGUCGAAACUCUCAGGCCAAAGGACAGAGCA
rnacentral:ncRNA from 1 species